rnacentral:rRNA from 1 species
UACGAAGGGUGCAAACGUUGCUCGGAAUCAUUGGGCGUAAAGCGCGCGUAGGCGGCUUUGCAAGUCGGGUGUGAAAUCCCCAGGCUUAACCUGGGAACUGCAUUCGAGACUGCAUUGCUAGAGUAUGGGAGAGGGAAGUGGAAUUUCCGGUGUAGCGGUGAAGUGCGUAGAUAUCGGAAGGAACAUCAGUGGCGAAAGCGACUUCCUGGACCAAUACUGACGCUCAUGUGCGAAAGCGUGGGGAGCAAACAGG